rnacentral:tRNA from 1 species
UAUAUUUUAGUAUAAGGUGUACAUUAAUUUUUGAUAUUAAAGGAAAUAGUUUAAUUCUAUUAAGUAUAA